AGACAUUCUUUCUUUAAGGAGAUAUCGUAAUUUUAUUGGCAAACUUUUUUCUGAAAUUUUCAACAUUUUCCCCUAGAUCCUUUUUAGGUUUUUGGCUCAGAUAUCACUUUUUCGGUUAGUAAUAAAUGCUUUAAGGAUUGUGAACAUACCUCAGGUUAUAAAACUAAUUUGUAUGUACACUUUUUUUGCGCAGGGGAUAUUAUUUAGAAAAAAAUUAAGUAUGUAGUUGCAAGAAGUUCCAUACAUUUCAGGCACAUAACAUUUGGUUAUAGAACUACAGCCUUUUGUUAUCAAUCUUCUGUAGAUUGGUUUGCA